GUGCGUCUUCAGGGCGGGGUGAAAUUCCCCACCGGCGGUAGGCCGGCAGCGCGACAGCGCGAGCCGGCAAGCCCGCGAGCGCCCGCAUCGAGUCGUCUUCGGAGUGUUGGAGACAGCGGCGGGGUCAGCAGAUCUGGUCAGAAGCCAGAGCCGACGGUCACAGUCCGGAUGGAAGAAGAGGUGC
rnacentral:ncRNA from 2 species